GAUGAACGCUAGCGGCGGGCUUAAUACAUGCAAGUCAAGGGGUAGCAAUACACUGGCGUACGGGUGCGUAACGCGUAUGGAACCUGCCCUUAUCUGGGGGAUAACUCGGGGAAACUCGAGCUAAUACCGCAUAAGAUAGUAGAGAGGCAUCUCUUAGCUAUUAAAGAUUUAUCGGAUAAGGAUGGCCAUGCGUAAGAUUAGAUAGUUGGCGAGGUAACGGCUCACCAAGUCUACGAUCUUUAGGGGCUCUGAGAGGAGAAUCCCCCACACUGGCACUGAGAUACGGGCCAGACUCCUACGGGAGGCAGCAGUAGGGAAUAUUGGGCAAUGGGCGGAAGCCUGACCCAGCCACGCCGCGUGCAGGAAGACGGCCCUCUGGGUUGUAAACUGCUUUUAACUGGGAAGAAAGCAGCUCAUGCGUGAGAAUUUGACGGUACCAGUUGAAUAAGCCACGGCUAACUACGUGCCAGCCGCCGCGGUAAAAC
rnacentral:rRNA from 1 species